rnacentral:misc_RNA from 1 species
UACGUACUGUGCGAACGUUAUUCGGAAUCACUGGGCUUAAAGGGUGCGUAGGUGGUCAGAUAAGUAGGGUGUGAAAUCCCCCGGCCUAACCGGGAAACUGCGCUCUAAACUGUCUGGCUUGAGUGAGAUAGGGGUGUGCGGAACUUCCAGUGGAGCGGUGAAAUGUGUUGAUAUUGGAAGGAACACCGGUAGCGAAAGCGGCACACUGGGUCUCAACUGACACUGAGGCACGAAAGCCAGGGUAGCGAACGGG